ACGCUCGACACCUACGGGAGGCAGCGGUGGGGAAUAUUGCACAAUGGGGGAAACCCUGAUGCAGCGACGCCGCGUGGAGGAAGAAGGUCUUCGGAUUGUAAACUCCUGUUGUUGGGGAAAAAGAGGAUGGUACCCAACAAGGAAGUGACGGCUAACUACGUGCCAUCAGCCGCGGUAAUCUGAGCGGGCUGGCAAGGC
rnacentral:rRNA from 1 species